CUGGUAUAACCAGCAGCUUGUCCGCCGCAAGUUCCAGUCUCCCUGUCGCUCAUUUGCAAGUUGUCAAGUCGCUGUUUCAAAAAUUUUUUUUUUUUAAAAAAGGAAGUCAUUCCUCAGCAACACUUGCACAAGUUGCAAGAAACUGCGACCUCUACACUCAGCUUCAGGACGCAGAGUGACAUAGAUUCGUGCACAAACUUACCAAUCACAGAAGAUUCACUGGAAAACCUGCCUUUGAAGGGUAAUUCUGAAUUUCCACCCAACCCAAUCGCCCGGCAACAAAGGACUACUGACUAUCUCUGAAAAGCAGGGGGAGGGAAGAACUUAAACUGGGGGAUUGACAGAAGCUGUUGGACAAGAGCGAUGCCGGGAGUUAAGGUGGGGAACGGCGAAAUUAU